rnacentral:rRNA from 1 species
AUUAAAGAGUUCUAUAACUCCCAAACCCAUGUGAACAUACCUAACGUUGCCUCGGCAGGUCGCACCUACCUUGUAGCACCCUACCCUGUAGGGCCUACCCGGGAGGUGCGGGUAAGCCUGCCGGCGGCCCACCAAACUCUGUUUGAUAUUGAAUUCUGAACCUAUAACUAAAUAAGUUAAAACUUUCAACAACGGAUCUCUUGGUUCUGGCAUCGAUGAAGAACGCAGCGAAAUGCGAUAAGUAAUGUGAAUUGCAGAAUUCAGUGAAUCAUCGAAUCUUUGAACGCAUAUUGCGCCCAUUAGUAUUCUAGUGGGCAGGACCGUUCGAGCGUCAUUUCAACCCUUAAGCCUUCGUUGCUUAGUGUUGGGAGCCUACGGCAACGUAGCUCCUCAAAGUUAGUGGCGGAGUUGGUUCACACUCUAGACGUAGUAAUUUUUUAUCUCGCCUAUUAGUUGGACUAAUCCCCUGCCGUAAAACCCCCAAUUUAUAUCAAGGUUGACCUCGAAUCGGUUCAGACAAACUCGCUAAAUUGAAGCAUCUUAGUCAGCGAAGGAAAAGAAACCAACAGGGAUUGCCCUAGUAACGGCGAGUGAAGCGGCAACAGCUCAAAUUUGAAAUCUGGCCCUCGGGUCCGA